CCCCGGCUAGCUCUGUUGUUAGAGCACGAGACUCAUAAUCUCAGGGUAGUGGGUGCGUGUCCCACUUCAGGCG
rnacentral:tRNA from 1 species